CCUAUAUUUGAAUGCUGUUUGGUCUGUGUUUACUUUAAUGUGUUCUUCUUUCUGCAUUCAUUCAGAGCUAAAUUUAUCCCACUAGAGGAGAAGGCAUACUUGGGGAGGUGGGGGUGGAAAAAGAACAGACACAAAGGCGGCUGCUUGACUGGGAGCCAGGAGCCUUGUGGAGUUCCCUGGAAGAAGACGGUGGGAGCCAGCACGUGGAAGGUAGCCACUCCAGAGGCUCUGUGAGGACUCUGUGUAGACUUCACAAGGGAAGGUUUUCCACAGGAGCCUCUGCGCCCUUCGCUUUUGAGAAGGAAGUGACCAGGAACAAGACUUUAGAACUUGUAAAUUAGAAAAAGCAGUUCUAUAACUCCCAUGAGCUCCCAAAUCUGGCCCAACCCUUCAGGAAAUGAAGACUCAGCAGCUCUCUGGGCCUCCCCAAGGAAAACAGUGUCUGUCCCCAUGGAAAGAAGAAGGGCAGCUGGCAGGGCCACUUCUGCUGCAAAGGUGAUUUUACUAUGCAGCCACUAUUAAAAACCACAGAUGUCAUUGGUGAUGAUGAUGAUGAUGAUGGUGAUGGUGAUGAAGACGGCAAUGAUUGCAGAGUUUCAGCUGAGAACAAUAGGACGAGACCACCUACGUAGGAUGGGCUAAGCAUUGUGAGACAGGUGCUGCAGUCCUUUACUCAUCACAGUGGGACAAGCCUGAGGAUUUGUUAGAGAUUGGGAAGUGGGAGCUUUUUAGAAAAAGACUUGAUGUGCUGUGGCAUUUCUCCCUCCCUUCCCACUGGGAAGUGGGAAAGAAGUAGGAAGUCAUUCUCCAGUGUAAUGCUCCCCCAACUGAGCUAUUUCAGCUGCCAAUGUAGGAAGUCACUCUCAUAUUAAGCCACAUGAGCAUGGGUUUCAGGUCUCAGAGAGCUUCAUAGGUAUACUUUGGAGUUUGAAAAACAGAAUCUAGAACUGCCCCAAACCUGAUACUGUCAAAAUGUGAGAUGCUGGCUGGCUGGCCAGAGGAGCAAUUGGUGGCAGAUUGAAGAAGGCUGCCUUGAAAGGCUUCCACUUGAAAAGUGUGGAAGGGCAAAAAUUCAUAUCUUCUUCCCAUGUGUUAGAUAUGGAUCCAUCAGAAGGGAGGAGGUCUCAGGUUACCUGGAGGGAUAAAGUGAUGCCACCAGAGGGGAUGACAGGGUGUCACUGAGGGCCAGAGGUUGUCCUAGGAACAUGCUACAUUAGGGAACUGCAGUAGGAGGACCCCAGGAAAGACACCUCAGAGGAACCCAAGAACAAGCCCUGGAGAGGAGGGACUGGCAUUGGUCCACUGCCCCAUCCCCAGAGGGCACCAAUGUAAAUAACAACUGUAGCAGUCAAAGGAGCCAUUUUCUGCCCCUCACCCUCUUUGCCUUUCGAGCCCUAAUACUGGAGAAGCCAGCGCAACAGAGCAGAAGAGAAAGAGUGGAAGACUGAGAAAAUAGUGAGUGAUCCAACCCCGACCCCCUUCCCCACUGCUAGUCUCCCGCCUGAUAUGGGUCCAAGCUGCAGGAG